rnacentral:lncRNA from 1 species
CUUACGAACAGAGUAUCCUCAUAGCUUUCCUCAGUAGAGACUUCCGGCGCGGCCGGAAUUGGCUCGCUUGGCCCGGAAGUCCCGCCUCCUUCUGGACGCUUGCUAUGUGACGCCACUUGGAAGGGACCCAGUAAGGGAUCUGUUGCGCCACAGGGGUCUCCAGGGCCCUCGCAGGUUGGGGUGGUCUGAGCUAGUCUGAAGGAGGACAGUCAGCUGACUUCUCCUUUAUCUCUCUUUCCCAGGAUAGCAGGUUCCCUUGGUGUAUUACAGUUUCUGAAGUGUUGAUUCCCUUUUCAAUUGAUUCCACAGAUGACAGUCCUGACGUUUAAAAAAUUGCCAGAUAACCUUUAAUUUUUUUUUUUUUAACAGAACACAAACUUAAGCCAGAUUGCCUAGGAUUGAACCUUGGCCUCUCACUUCCUAGACGAGUGGCCUUGGCUAGUUAACCACCUUCGUGAGCCUCAGUUUUGUCAUCUGUAAAAUGGGAGUCAUAAGUGUCUACCUCACAGAGCUGUGAUUGAAAGGAUAAAUAGCACCUUGCACAUAGCGGUGUAGAAGUGCUUGUUAUUGUUAAUAUUUUAUUUACCUUCACGCAGGUAACAGCCACAACAUCUGCCCACUCUUCCCCACACCUUACUGUCCCUUGAAAUGUUUCCCAUUUUACUAUAGUAUGCAUUUUUUGGCUUCUUCCCUUUAGGGAAAUGAGUAUGUGAUAGUAAAGCGUGUCUUGGUUUAUGUCCUAGGAGUCAGAAGCUAAGAGACUCCUUUUUGUGCUUGUACAUUUGUCUUAACUGAAAAUAACCCAAGGAUAAGGAAACAAAUAGCUUCCUGAAAUUACUCGGAUUGCGGGGGUGAGGGGUGAGGGCUGGGGGGUGGUGAUUCUGUCUUCAUAGGAUGGCAGCAAAGGCCAAAGUCUUAUUUGAGUUAUUACCAUUAUUAUUCACCACACUUGCCAUCUUAUUUCAAGCCUACAGUGGCGGAAGUGGAGUAAGACAUCAUGUUGCCUCAAGUUUAAUUGGAAAUCGCGUGCCUUGUGAAGAAUGGACACUCAGUAGAUGCUUAUUGAUGAACCUGUUGGUUGAGGAUAACUCGCUAACUUUUCUGAGCUUUGUUGGAAAAACUCAGGUCACUGUAUCUCUAUGCAUUACAGAAAAUGGCUAGUUAAAAACUUGUCAAGGUAAGUGAAAUAGCUGUAUGUAUAAGUUGCUUGUAGGGAUCUCUCUAAUAAGUUACCAUACUUACAUAAGAAAUGAAAUUGUUUAUCAGGCAAAUACUUCUUGGCAUUAACUUUGUGGUGUUUAAAGAAUAUGAAAUUCUGUGAUGUAGCUUAUUCAAACUGUCUGAAUACUUUAACACUGUGUUUUUAGUUUGUUUGUUUUUACAACUUAAUUCUUUCCCUGAAGUUGAGUAUUUUCUCCCUAAGUUAAGUUUGAAAUGGUAAAAACAAUCAGAAAAAGGAAGUGCAUUCUAUGAUGAAUCAAAAAUAGAGCUUGCAUUCAAAGACACUGAAAAUAUAAUAUCAUUAAGUCCUACUUAUUUUUAUUAAUGAUAUGUUUGGGAUUUUAAAUAUUUAUAUCAUUUUAUAACCCAGAACAAUAAAAGAUCUGGUCUAAAAAUUUACAAACUACUGUUUGUAAAUGGUAAACUUUGUGCCAUUAAAAAUAUGUUAUUAUAAAUUAGAAAAUUACUAAAAUUUUUUUUUACUUUAUACUAGAUGACCAUAAAAAUGGAUUUAGUUGUAUACAUUCUUUAGAAGUAUGUCACAUUAUUAUAGCCAAUACAAAUACCAUAAUUUUUACCUCAAAGAAUUAAGUUUUGAGUGAAUAUGAAAGAGAAUCUUUGUACAUAUGCUCAGGAGAAAGAUAAUAAAACUAAUUAUGGCAAACACACUAAAUCUGUUUCAGAUUAUGAAUGAGUGCAUCCAAAAGUAAUCACUGGAAUUGCUGUUCAUUGUGGGCUUCCCAGCAUUCUCCUCUGGGCAUUUAUAUCAAAUAACUUAUGAGUGAUGCAGAAUUAGUAUUCACCGGUCAGACAUUGAUUAUUUAGAAUUCCCUCUGAUUUGAAUUACAUCUACUGUUUUUUUCUCCCAUCCAUUUAUGGGUCAAAUGUACAAUAAGCCAAAACAUGUUGAUUCUGGUGAAAUUUAGCAGAGAAAAACAGCUUCACCUAGUGGCCACAGAAACUCGAAAAGCUUUACUGAAAAGAAAUAAAUUGGAUAUCUUCUCAUCCUGGAUAUGAACUGGAUUCCAACUUAACCUUCCAACUGUUUUGCUGUUUCUCUGAAGUCUGAACCUUGUGUAUGGCAAUACUUAUCUCAAGCAAAAAUAUAGUUUCACAUUGGUAGUACUGUAUUCAGGAAAACUGGAAAUUGUACUAUGAAGGAGCACUUCUACCACAUCCGUAUCUAAGUCUACAUUCACAGCUGCUGGAAACAGAUAUUGUAUUCAUACUAUGGUGGGAAACACAUAAUGUAUGUAUGUAUACACAUGUGUGCACACAUAUAUAUGCUAGCGUAUAAUCUGGAAAAAUUUUGCUAAGAUAUAUAGGAAGAGAACCUUUUUAUUCAGAAUAUUGAACAAGUAGGACUCAUAGUGUAAAAUUAAGAAAAAUUAUUUUUCUUCUACUGCCCUUUCUAUGGAUUUGGUUCUUCCUCUUCCCCUGAAUGUAAACUUAAGCAGUCUUCUAUGCAUUUUGUGUUCAUUCCUAAAUAUUAGAAAUAGUUAUUUGAUUAUUUAGCCUUUAGUCUCAGUUUAAUAACCAAAAUAUGAGGUUAAAAUUUAAUUCUGGCUACAGAAUUAAGGCUUCUCUCUCCUGCCGCACUUCCAGGCCAGUUGCAGGCAUGAUACCAGCAGUCUGGGAGGUAGAGACAAGAGGACACAUCUCUGCUGCUCCCUUCUUUCCCCAUGGUUAUGCGCCAACUUUGGUUUCACCAGGCCUACAGUGCUUCCCAGGUUUGGAGUGUGGGGAAGGAGAAGAUUUAAUGGAAGCAGCUUAAGGGAAAUGCUCAAACUAAACUGAUACUUUCUUCAUGAUCUAGCAUUGAAACUUUCUGGACUUGACAGAUAUUUAAAAUUAACUCUUUUUCUCAUUAACAUUUUCAUGGGUUCUUCCAAGAUCCACAUUACCCAACCUGUGGGUUCCCAUGACAAGGAUUAAGGCAUCUCUGUUUCUUCUGGACCUUUAUUUACCUGGAUUCUUUCUCUAGGGACUGUUUACCCUUAUGGGCCAUCCUUUUGAGCAUAACCUAACAAGAUUCAUGCUGGCUUUAAGUGAGUGGUCCACAUUUGGUUCAUGGGAAAACCACAUAGUUUGUCCCCAGCAAACCUGGAAGUAAUAUUUAUUUUACUGCUGGAAUUAAGGAAAACCAAAAAUCCUAUUACAAAAUGGCUCCUCUAAACAUUCACAUUACCCCUUUUUGUCUCUACCCCCUGAGGAACUAACCAACUCUAGCUCUUUGGAUUUUCCAAAUGAGAGGUCAACACAUCGAUGUCUCCAAGACCUUAAGUUCUUCUAGUGGUCUCUUUAAGCUUCCUCCCUUGAAUUAUGGUGAAAAGGGACUGCCUGCUACCCCCUCCUCUUGAGGAGAGGGGUGGUAUCACAGCCUAACAAUAAUUUCCAAAAAUUUUCUCCUCCAGCUCUAAUGCUUAACCAGUUUAGACUUUCAAAGUGGAUAAUGUAAUUUAAAGCCUUACAGCUAGUUAUGCUCUACUUCUUCUAUAAGUCCUGCAACCAGGUGGUCUCAAUCCUCACUUGCGAAUACUGCAUUUACUCACCUUGUGCCCUAGCCAAAACUUCCACAACAAAUUCUGUGGUGCAUUUAAGUGAAAGAUGUUAUUUGAUUGAUAGAGAGAUAGAUAGAUAGAUACAGAUAUAGAUAUAGAUAUGUAUUAGAACCAUGUCAAAUGGUUAACUUUUUUAAAAAGGUAAAUUUUUUAUAUUGAGAUAAUUAUAGAUUCUCAUACACUCGUAAGAAAUAACACAGAAAGAUCCCAUGUAGCCUUUAUCCAGUUUCCCCAGUGAUAAUAUCUUGCAAAACUAUAGUCCAAUAUCACAACCAAGAUACUGGCAUUGAUAGAUCACUUCCAUCACCACAAACAUCCCUCAUGUUGCCCUUUUAUAGCCACACUCAUUUCCCUCCUGCUGCCACCCUCUCCUUUACCCAUAACCACUUAUCUGUUCUCUAUUUUUGUAAUUUUAUCAUUUCAAGAAUACUGUAGAAAUGGAAUAAUACAGUAUGUAUUUUAGGGCUUAUCUUUUCUACACUCGGCAUGAUUCUCUGGAGAUUCAUCCAGGUUGUUGCAUGUAUCAAUAGUUCAUUCCUUUUUUACUGCUGAACAGUAUUCCAUUGUAUGUAUGUACCAUAGUUUAACUAUUUGCUCAAUGAAAGACAUAUAUUAAUAGUUUCCAGUUUUUGCUGUUAUGAAUAAAGCUACUAUAAACAUUCAUGUACAGGUUUUUGUAUUAAUGCAAGUCUUCAUUUCUUUGGAAGAGAUGACUGAAGUUCAAUUACUGGGUUACGUGGUAGUUGCAUAUUUCUUUUUUAAAGAAACUGCCAAACUGUUUUUCAGAGCAUCUGUAUCAUUUUAUAUUCUCACCAGCAACGUAUCAAUGACCUAGUUUCUCUACAUCCUUUCUAGCCUUAAUUGUCUUUGUUUUUUUAUUUUACUUUGUUUGUUUGUUUUGAGACAGGGUCUUUCUCUGUUGCCCAGGCUGGAAUUCAGUAGUGUAAUCAAGGCUCACUGAAGCCUGACCUCCCGGCUGAAGUGAACUGCCCACCUCAGUGCUGGAAGUAGGGUGGGGCGUCAGCCACCAGUAGCAGGACUGUAGGCAUCUGCCACCAUGCCUGGCUGAUUUCUCUUUUUUCUUUUUGCAGAGAUGGGGUUUUACUAUGUUGGAGAAGCUGGUCUCAAACUCCUGGGCUCAAGUCAUCCUCCCGCCUCAGCCUCCCAAAGUGCUGAGAUUACAGACGUGUGCCUGGCCUAUUUUACUCGUUUUAAUAGAUGUUGAGGGCUCAUGACACUCCUGGUGGCCAUAUACGCAGAGGUCAGGGAGAGAAAGGGACCUGUGGGCCAGCACCCUUAUUGGGUCCAGAGAGCUAUCCAAACAAGUUUCCAGCAGGGAAUUUAAUUGGUGGAUUUAAAGCAAGCAGGCAUGAGUUCCAGGGGGCCACACUGACUGAGGUAUGUAUGUAUGUACCAUAGUUUAACUAUUUGCUCAAUGAAAGACAUAUAUUAAUAGUUUCCAGUUUUUGCUGUUAUGAAUAAAGCUACUAUAAACAUUCAUGUACAGGUUUUUGUAUUAAUGCAAGUCUUCAUUUCUUUGGAAGAGAUGACUGAAGUUCAAUUACUGGGUUACAUGGUAGUUGCAUAUUUCUUUUUUGCACACUGACAGAGAGGUAGUCACUAUGGCAUGUCUGAAUAGUUCGUUCCGUGUGUGAGUAUCAGCAGGGCCAGUCAAGCAGCCUGCAUCUAGCCACCACCUAGUGAAGUAGUCACCAGAGAGCAGUUGUAUAAGGCAGAUAUCUGGAUCCACCACAUUGAGGAACUGGGGGAAGGGAGCACCAAACCGAAAACUGUGUCCAAGGUGACGGAGUCCUGCCUCUGGUGUGAGAAAGCCCAGCUUAUAUUUAAAGUGGAUGCCAAAGCAAUAUAAAAUUAUAGGAAUUCAUUACCAAACUGAUAGCUUGUGGUUUUAAUUUGCAUUUCCCCAAUGAAUAAUGAUGUUGAGCAUCAUUUCAUGUGUUUAUUUGGCAUCUGUGUUACUGUGUGCAUGAAAUAUGUCUUCAUGUCUUUUGUCCAUGUUCUAAUUGGAUUUUCUCAUACUGUUGAGUUUUGAAAAUUUUUUAUAUAUUCCAUAUACUAGUCCUUUGUUGGAUAUGUGGUUUUCAAGUAUUUUCUCCCAGUCCGUAGCUUACCUUUUUGCCCUCUUAACAGAGUCUUUCACAAAAUGUGUUUUUUUUUUCUUUUUUUUUGAAACAGAGUCUCAGUCUGUCACCCAAGCUGGAGUGCAGUGGUGUGAUCUUGGCUCACUGCAACCUCCACUUCCCGGGUUCAAGUAAUUCUCCUGCUUCAGCCUUCCGAGUAGCUGGGAUUACAGGCUCCCACCACCACAACUGGCUAAUUUUUGUAUUUUUAGAAGAGAC